rnacentral:rRNA from 1 species
GUCCACGCCGUAACGAUGUGCGCCGGGUGUUGGGCGGCCUAGCCGCUCAGUGCCGCAGCCAACGCGGUAAGCGCACCGCCUGGGGAGUACGGCCGCAAGGCUGAACUCAAGGAAUUGACGGGGCCCGCACAAGCGGUGGAGCAUGUGGUUUAAUUUCGAAGCAACGCGCAGAACCUUACCAGCCCUUGACAUGGGCGCGACCGGCCCGGAGACGGGCCUUCCCCGCGAGGGCGCGCCGCACAGGUGCUGCAUGGCUGUCGU